rnacentral:rRNA from 1 species
UACGAAGGGUGCAAGCGUUACUCGGAAUUACUGGGCGUAAAGCGUGCGUAGGUGGUUUGUUAAGUCUGAUGUGAAAGCCCCUGGGCUCAACCUGGGAAUGGCAUUGGAUACUGGCGAGCUAGAGUGCGGUAGAGGGUAGUGGAAUUCCCGGUGUAGCAGUGAAAUGCGUAGAGAUCGGGAGGAACAUCUGUGGCGAAGGCGACUACCUGGACCAGCACUGACACUGAGGCACGAAAGCGUGGGGAGCAAACAGG